rnacentral:rRNA from 1 species
GAUGAACGCUGGCGGCGUGCCUAAUACAUGCAAGUCGAGCGAAUGGAUUGAGAGCUUGCUCUUAUGAAGUUAGCGGCGGACGGGUGAGUAACACGUGGGUAACCUGCCCAUAAGACUGGGAUAACUCCGGGAAACCGGGGCUAAUACCGGAUAACAUUUUGAACCGCAUGGUUCGAAAUUGAAAGGCGGCCUCGGCUGUCACUUAUGGAUGGACCCGGGUCGCAGUAGCUAGUUGGUGAAGUAACGGCUCACCAAGGCAACGAUGCGUAGCCGACCUGAGAGGGUGAUCGGCCACACUGGGACUGAGACACGGCCCAGACUCCUACGGGAGGCAGCAGUAGGGAAUCUUCCGCAAUGGACGAAAGUCUGACGGAGCAACGCCGCGUGAGUGAUGAAGGCUUUCGGGUCGUAAAACUCUGUUGUUAGGGAAGAACAAGUGCUAGUUGAAUAAGCUGGCACCUUGACGGUACCUAACCAGAAAGCCACGGCUAACUACGUGCCAGCAGCCGCAGUAA